UACGAAGGGGGCUAGCGUUGUUCGGAAUUACUGGGCGUAAAGCGUGCGCAGGCGGCCAUCCAAGUCAGUGGUGAAAUCCUGGAGCUCAACUCCAGAACUGCCUUCGAUACUGGAAGACUUGAGUCCGGGAGAGGUGAGUGGAACUGCGAGUGUAGAGGUGAAAUUCGUAGAUAUUCGCAAGAACACCAGUGGCGAAGGCGGCUCACUGGCCCGGUACUGACGCUGAGGUGCGAAAGCGUGGGGAGCAAACAGG
rnacentral:rRNA from 1 species